AAGAAUUUGAGUGUUCUGGGUGGUUGAGAUUCAGACCCUGACAGUUGUAACUGAUGGACUAGGCUGGGCACUGCUGAUGAACCUCACAUUCCUGAGAGAAAAAUCAUCCAAAAGUAUUCUUCAACUUUCUAGAAGUCAUUAUGAGGGGCCCUGACUAACUGAGGAGACUCAUACAGAAACCCUUGUCCCCAUCACAGAUACCUGGUUACCAUGUUCCUUCAAGAUGGCCAUCCCUUGGGAGGAUUACCCUUGGGCCUCAGAGAAGAAAGAAAACCAAAAGGCAUAAACAAUAAAUUGAAAAUUGAAGGUGAAAGCCAAGUCUAAAGAUUUAGAGUAAGAGUUGUAGGUAGUAUGAAGUUAUAUCCUUAAAGGGAAUAAACUCUACUUGAGGUAGUAGGACAUUAGUUAGUUAAUGAAUUUUGUCAGUGUGGUUAUUUGUAUAAUUCAUGUGAGUGCACAUUUACAACCUGAGAUGAAUUCCUUUACCUUGGUCUGCUUUUGGCUCUAUCUUGGUAUACAAGGCUGCUAUAAAAUGGAAGAUGCAAACUAAUUACAAGAUUAGGAGAAUUUUCAGAUAGGUGCUUAUCCUUGACCUGGCCCUACUAGAAAAUGAGGAUCACCUCAACAUGCAUUGGAGAAUUAAUAUUCCUGGCAGGCUAAUUCUACUUCUUUGCUCAAUCCAGGAGAAAAGAGAAUAAAAUGAAAAUCACAAAAAUAAUUUUCUCUCUAGGCCAUCAUUGCACUUUGUCCAAGUCUAGCAAGCACCAUGUGACAAGUAAGGGGUCAGGUAUUAUAUGGCUUGACACCUGUUCCCAGGCAGCCUGCUUAGGUGCCCACACUGUCCUGCACUGGAAGUUUUUCUCCCUGAAUGAUCCAGGCCGGCUCUCAGUGCAACAUGAACUCACUGAUUCUUUGCCAACCUCUCAGUUCCCUUGAAGUGGCAGGUGCUUAAAAGCCUGCCUCCUGUUGCAAACCUCUGACUUCCAACAGCAUCCCCUUCUUGGCUACACUUCUGAAUCUGGAGUUUUAGCAACCAAAUAUCAGAGGCUGGCAGAGAUCUCAGACGACGUUCUCCUGGAAUCACCUAGCCUGAGGGGUGCGUCCUUAUGAGGUCAAGGCUUUCAGAGGCGUUACAGUGGAAACUACGGGUCCGGAGAGAAAUGAGAUAGAGCGCUUGUCCUCAAGGAAAUUACCAUUUCCAGAGUAGGAACAAGUUCAUGCAUGUUUUCCUCGUCUGGUAACCUGUCACGUCACUUGUCUCUGGCCGAGCUGCAGCUUACAGGAUGAUCCUGCACCUUCUCUUCCCGGCACUUACUGCAUCUUGAGGGAGACGGAUGUAUCUCAGAGGAUCCCCGGUUUGGGGGCUGGAUGCAAUGAACAGAGAUCCAGGUUCCAGGCAGAAGAACAGGUUUUCAUUCUUCAGACCUGUUAGCACUUCAGUGGUGAAUACAGAAGACAAAAUUAGUACAGAUCAAGUAACAUGGAAAAGAAAAAAGAGACAGCACUAGAUACAGAAGCAGACAACAGGAGGAGAAAACUCAGGCCUUGGCAAAAGCCACAUUACCGAACAGGGUCGCAGAGAGUGUCAGCUGGGGUCAGAUGAGAACAGCAGUCUGACUCAACAUUUAUUGCACUCCUGCUGUAUGCCAAGAAAUGCACCGAAAUCUGGAAGUGUGUAACACAGGAGAAGAAAAGGCUUAUUGCCAAGGAGCCCUCACCUGGAAAGAGAGAUGGAAUCUCAGCCUAAGAUGGUGAAAUGUUGACAUGCUACCAGGAGGACAAAACAGCAGAGGACUAAUUUUAACUUCCUGUUGGCUCAAGCAGGAAACCCAAGCCAGACUGAUUCCUCCAUGUUUGACUUACAACUUCCAGAGCGUCUAGCCAGGUAUUCUGAGUGCCAUCAAGCAAGUAACAGCUGGAGAACGUGCAGCGAAAGAAACCACACAACAAGGAGCCAAAUCACAUUUUUCACUUAUUACGGAACAACUUUAGGAUAAGUUGACACUUAACACAUUGCAGUCCGGUGUUUGCCACCGUGUCUGAUACACGGUACUGUGUGUGUAUCAUGCAAUUAUGUUCUUCACAUUCAUAAACUUUGUUCACAUAAACUUAUUACAUUUUGGAACAGAUACAGCUAAAAUAAAUCUCUUUUGAAUUUU